rfam:Pisolithus microcarpus 441 unplaced genomic scaffold scaffold_11, whole genome shotgun sequence.
GGCCUUGUAGUGUAGUGGUCAUCACACAGGAUUCUGAUGGAAUACGCAGAGAUUCCUGUAACCCAGGUUCGAGUCCUGGCAGGGCCU